UACAGAGGUCUCAAGCGUUGUUCGGAUUCAUUGGGCGUAAAGGGUGCGUAGGCGGCGCGGUAAGUCGGGUGUGAAAUCUCGGGGCUUAACUCCGAAACUGCAUUCGAUACUGCCGUGCUUGAGGACUGGAGAGGAGACUGGAAUUUACGGUGUAGCGGUGAAAUGCGUAGAUAUCGUAAGGAAGACCAGUGGCGAAGGCGGGGUCUCUGGACAGUUCCUGACGCUGAGGCACGGAAGGCCCAGGGGGAGCAAAACGGGG
rnacentral:rRNA from 1 species